CUUGAGUACAAAAGCGCAAAGAGGUUUCUUUGUGGUAUAGAACAAGGAUGGGCAGGUGGGCAGAGCAAGGGUGUUUCUGUCUGAGCCUAAGAAAGAGAACGGGUGCCACAGAAUGGGCACCAAGGUACCACCACAUGACGCCCUGCGAGAAACCACAUCUGCUAUGCUGGAUAUAGCCAUCUUUUGAUCUGCUGAUUGUAUGGGAAAAUUGGAAGGUAUUUUUAUAUGCUAGAAAACUAGAAAAAGGUUUAGGGAAAUAAAAUUAUGCCCAGUCUCUCUCCUCCCUUUCCCCUAACCCCACCACUUCUUUGUCUUCUCUGCUCAUAGGCACUCUCUCCCCUGGGUGCUUUGCCAGCCUGGGUCCAUGGGGAGAGAGCGCCUUCUCCUAUGCUAGCCUGGGUGAGUUGUGGGUCGACAGGCCAGGACGUACAGAUUUCCGAGAGGAUUACAAAGGGAUGCCAACAGACAGAUCAGCGACCUCAAAUUUAAACUUGCAAAAUCUGAGCAAGAGAUAACUGCAUUAGAACAAAAUCUUCGCUCUGCACUGGACAAAACAGAAGAGCUUGAAGUAAGCAACGGCCACUUAGUGAAGCGUCUGGAAAAAAUGAAAGCAAACCGGAGUGCGCUUAUGUCCCAGCAGUGAACACCAGCUCUGAGCGGGAACCCGACUGGUGAAUGGGGAGCAUUGUUUCCUAGGCUUUUCUCUGUUCCUGUUCUGGAAGCUGCUGCUUCCCCUGCUUCUGCAAGAACAUCCCAGUGAGCACUCGGCUCCCUCGUGCUCCCGAGCUGGCUCAACCAUGGGAGCCCCAGCAGCCACCAGAUGCCUCUGUCUGCAGACCCCGACCCCAGGCUGGGGCCAUCUCUCCAAACCUGCAGGUGAUUUAAUAAGCACACUGGGCCCAUGGGAGCCCUGUCUCCAAUGGCACAGCAGCCUCUUAAUGCCAUUUAAAAUGGUGAUCAAAGUAAAGAUUAAAGUGGGACUUGAGUUUUCUUUUCAUGUGUCUUGCUGAAAAUUAAGGGGAAAUGUUACAGCGUUGGGACUUCCUUUCCUGGCAGAAUCUACAAUUUGAGCGACUUCAGUAGUAUCUCUUAGUCCAUGCUUUUCACACACAAAACACUGUGGAACCACAAGCCAUUACCAAGCAAAACUCUCUCACUAGAAACAAGAGGAUGGUCUGGAAGUAAAAGUGACCUUAAGAAGACUCUUUCCAGGCAACAAAUGAAGCUUUUCUAAGGGAUUUUUGCAUCAGUUCAAUCAUAAGAAUACUUUUUUUCCAGGAUAAUUAGGCAACAGCUUCACUGAAAAUGACAGCUUUUCAUUUGCAUUAUUUAAUCCUUAUAUUUGGAAUUGAAGUUGUUAACUUCUUUUAAAGAAUGUACUAUUAGAAAAAUUAAAAAAAUGAAAUGUUAAAAG
rnacentral:lncRNA from 1 species